rnacentral:rRNA from 1 species
CGCGUAGGUGGUAGUGCAAGUCUGAGGUGGAAUCCCAGGGCUUAACCCUGGAACUGCCUUGGAAACUGCACUACUUGAGUCAGUGAGGGGAGGGUAGAAUUCCUGGUGUAGCGGUGAAAUGCGUAGAUAUCAGGAGGAAGGCCGGUGGCGAAGGCGGCCCUCUGGCGCUGAACUGACACUGAGGCGCGAAAGCGUGGGUAGCAAACAGGAUUAGAUACCCUGGUAGUCCACGCCCUAAACGGUGGGUACUAGGUGUAGGGCUCGUAAGGGUUCUGUGCCGAAGCGAAAGCAUUAAGUACCCCGCCUGGGGAGUACGGCCGCAAGGUUGAAA